rnacentral:rRNA from 1 species
GAUGAACGCUGGCGGCGUGCCUAAUACAUGCAAGUCGAGCGAACAGGUAAGGAUCUUGCUCCUGUGACGUUAGCGGCGGACGGGUGAUUAACACGUGGGUAACCUACCUAUAAGACUGGGAUAACUUCGGGAAACCGGAGCUAAUACCGGAUAACAGUGGGAACCGCAUGGUUCUAAAGUGAAAGAUGGUUUUGCUAUCACUUAUAGAUGGACCCGCGCCGUAUUAGCUAGUUGGUAAGGUAACGGCUUACCAAGGCAACGAUACGUAGCCGACCUGAGAGGAUGAUCGGCCACACUGGAACUGAGACACGGCCCAGACUCCUACGGGAGGCAGCAGUAGGGAAUCUUCCGCAAUGGGCGAAAGCCUGACGGAGCAACGCCGCGUGAGUGAUGAAGGGUUUCGGCUCGUAAAACUCUGUUAUUAGGGAAGAACGAACGUGUAAGUAACUGUGCACGUCUUGACGGUACCUAAUCAGAAAGCCACGGCUAACUACGUG